AGAGUUUGAUCAUGGCUCAGGAUGAACGCUGGCGGUAUGCCUAACACAUGCAAGUCGUACGAGAGUUUUUAACUCAAGUGGCGGACGGGUGAGUAACACGUGAGAAUCUGCCUUUAGGAGGGGGAUAACAACUGGAAACGGUUGCUAAUACCCCAUAUGCUUUCGAGUGAAAUAGAUUUAUCUGCCUAGAGAGGAGCUCGCGGCUGAUUAGCUUGUUGGUAGGGUAAUGGCCUCCCAAGGCGACGAUCAGUAUCUGGUUUGAGAGGACGAUCAGACACACUGGAACUGAGACACGGUCCAGACUCCUACGGGAGGCAGCAGUGGGGAAUUUUCCGCAAUGGGCGAAAGCCUGACGGAGCAAUACCGCGUGAGGGAAGACUGCCUAUGGGUUGUAAACCUCUUUUCUCAGGGAGGAACUCAAUGACGUGUACCUGAGGAAUAAGCAUCGGCUAACUCCGUGCCAGCAGCCGCGGUAAGACGGAGGAUGCAAGUGUUAUCCGGAAUCACUGGGCGUAAAGCGUCUGUAGGUGGUUUAAUAAGUCAACUGUUAAAUCUUGAGGCUCAACUUCAAAAUCGCAGUCGAAACUAUUAGACUAGAGUAUAGUAGGGGUAAAGGGAAUUUCCAGUGGAGCGGUGAAAUGCGUAGAGAUUGGAAAGAACACCGAUGGCGAAGGC
rnacentral:rRNA from 1 species